AGAGUUUGAUCAUGGCUCAGAUUGAACGCUGGCGGCAGGCCUAACACAUGCAAGUCGAACGGUAACAGGAAGCAGCUUGCUGUUUCGCUGACGAGUGGCGGACGGGUGAGUAAUGUCUGGGAAACUGCCUGAUGGAGGGGGAUAACUACUGGAAACGGUGGCUAAUACCGCAUAACGUCGCAAGACCAAAGAGGGGGACCUUCGGGCCUCUUGCCAUCAGAUGUGCCCAGAUGGGAUUAGCUUGUUGGUGAGGUAACGGCUCACCAAGGCGACGAUCCCUAGCUGGUCUGAGAGGAUGACCAGCCACACUGGAACUGAGACACGGUCCAGACUCCUACGGGAGGCAGCAGUGGGGAAUAUUGCACAAUGGGCGCAAGCCUGAUGCAGCCAUGCCGCGUGUAUGAAGAAGGCCUUCGGGUUGUAAAGUACUUUCAGCGGGGAGGAAGGUGUUGUGGUUAAUAACCACAGCAAUUGACGUUACCCGCAGAAGAAGCACCGGCUAACUCCGUGCCAGCAGCCGCGGUAAUACGGAGGGUGCAAGCGUUAAUCGGAAUUACUGGGCGUAAAGCGCACGCAGGCGGUCUGUCAAGUCGGAUGUGAAAUCCCCGGGCUCAACCUGGGAACUGCAUUCGAAACUGGCAGGCUUGAGUCUUGUAGAGGGGGGUAGAAUUCCAGGUGUAGCGGUGAAAUGCGUAGAGAUCUGGAGGAAUACCGGUGGCGAAGGCGGCCCCCUGGACAAAGACUGACGCUCAGGUGCGAAAGCGUGGGGAGCAAACAGGAUUAGAUACCCUGGUAGUCCACGCCGUAAACGAUGUCUACUUGGAGGUUGUGCCCUUGAGGCGUGGCUUCCGGAGCUAACGCGUUAAGUAGACCGCCUGGGGAGUACGGCCGCAAGGUUAAAACUCAAAUGAAUUGACGGGGGCCCGCACAAGCGGUGGAGCAUGUGGUUUAAUUCGAUGCAACGCGAAGAACCUUACCUGGUCUUGACAUCCACNGUGAGACAGGUGCUGCAUGGCUGUCGUCAGCUCGUGUUGUGAAAUGUUGGGUUAAGUCCCGCAACGAGCGCAACCCUUAUCCUUUGUUGCCAGCGGUCCGGCCGGGAACUCAAAGGAGACUGCCAGUGAUAAACUGGAGGAAGGUGGGGAUGACGUCAAGUCAUCAUGGCCCUUACGACCAGGGCUACACACGUGCUACAAUGGCGCAUACAAAGAGAAGCGACCUCGCGAGAGCAAGCGGACCUCAUAAAGUGCGUCGUAGUCCGGAUUGGAGUCUGCAACUCGACUCCAUGAAGUCGGAAUCGCUAGUAAUCGUGGAUCAGAAUGCCACGGUGAAUACGUUCCCGGGCCUUGUACACACCGCCCGUCACACCAUGGGAGUGGGUUGCAAAAGAAGUAGGUAGCUUAACCUUCGGGAGGGCGCUUACCACUUUGUGAUUCAUGACUGGGGUGAAGUCGUAACAAGGUAACCGUAGGGGAACCUGCGGUUG
rnacentral:rRNA from 1 species